rnacentral:rRNA from 1 species
GACGAACGCUGGCGGCGUGCUUAACACAUGCAAGUCGAACGGAAAGGCCCUGCUUUUGUGGGGUGCUCGAGUGGCGAACGGGUGAGUAACACGUUAGUAACCUGCCCUUGACUUUGGGAUAACUUCAGGAAACUUGGGCUAAUACCGGAUAGGAGCUCCUGCUGCAUGGUGGGGGUUGGAAAGUUUCGGCGGUUGGGGAUGGACUCGCGGCUUAUCAGCUUGUUGGUGGGGUAGUGGCUUACCAAGGCUUUGACGGGUAGCCGGCCUGAGAGGGUGACCGGCCACAUUGGGACUGAGAUACGGCCCAGACUCCUACGGGAGGCAGCAGUGGGGAAUAUUGCACAAUGGGCGGAAGCCUGAUGCAGCAACGCCGCGUGCGGGAUGACGGCCUUCGGGUUGUAAACCGCUUUCGCCUGUGACGAAGCGUGAGUGACGGUAAUGGGUAAAGAAGCACCGGCUAACUACGUG